GGGGCCAACCUUCCCACCCGUGUUGCCCGAACCUAUGUUGCCUCGGCGGGCCCCGCGCCCGCCGACGGCCCCCCUGAACGCUGUCUGAAGUUGCAGUCUGAGACCUAUAACGAAAUUAGUUAAAACUUUCAACAACGGAUCUCUUGGUUCCGGCAUCGAUGAAGAACGCAGCGAAAUGCGAUAACUAAUGUGAAUUGCAGAAUUCAGUGAAUCAUCGAGUCUUUGAACGCACAUUGCGCCCUCUGGUAUUCCGGAGGGCAUGCCUGUCCGAGCGUCAUUGCUGCCCUCAAGCCCGGCUUGUGUGUUGGGCCCCGUCCCCCCCGCCGGGGGGACGGGCCCGAAAGGCAGCGGCGGCACCGCGUCCGGUCCUCGAGCGUAUGGGGCUUCGUCACCCGCUCUAGUAGGCCCGGCCGGCGCCAGCCGACCCCCAACCUUUAAUUAUCUCAGGUUGACCUCGGAUCAGGUAGGGAUACCCGCUGAACUUAAGCAUAUCAAUAGAAGGGAGGAA
rnacentral:rRNA from 1 species